ACUAAUGUGGCAGAAUAUGUGGUAGAUUUAAGCUUUAUUCAUGAAAAAUUGGUUUCCUUUAGUA
rnacentral:tRNA from 1 species